AUUGAACGCUGGCGGCAGGCCUAACACAUGCAAGUCGAACGGUAACAGGAAGAAGCUUGCUUCUUUGCUGACGAGUGGCGGACGGGUGAGUAAUGUCUGGGAGACUGCCUGAUGGAGGGGGAUAACUACUGGAAACGGUAGCUAAUACCGCAUAACGUCGCAAGACCAAAAAGGGGGACCUUCGGGCCUCUUGCCAUCGGAUGUGCCCAGAUGGGAUUAGCUAGUAGGUGGGGUAACGGCUCACCUAGGCGACGAUCCCUAGCUGGUCUGAGAGGAUGACCAGCCACACUGGAACUGAGACACGGUCCAGACUCCUACGGGAGGCAGCAGUGGGGAAUAUUGCACAAUGGGCGCAAGCCUGAUGCAGCCAUGCCGCGUGUAUGAAGAAGGCCUUCGGGUUGUAAAGUACUUUCAGCGGGGAGGAAGGGAGUAAAGUUAAUACCUUUGCUCAUUGACGUUACCCGCAGAAGAAGCACCGGCUAACUCCGUG
rnacentral:rRNA from 1 species